UGGACAUGGGCUGUUGAAACCUUCUCAGCCUCUGGUUGAAAAGCCAAAGACACCAGAGCCAGAACAACCCAAACAACCACCACCACAACCUAAGCCACAACCACCAAAACCAUCACCUGAACUAGUUCAAACACCUCAUACACCAAAACCACCCAAGGAGGAGCAACCCAUGGAACAACCUCCCAAGGAAGAGCAACCCAAGGAACAACCUGCCAAAGAGGAGCCACCCCAGGUACAACCUCCUAGAGAUGAGCCACCGAAGGUGAAACCUCCUAAAGAGGAGCUACCAAAGGUGCAACCUCCUAAAGAGGAGUUACCCAAAGAACAACCUCCAAAAGAGGAACUACCACAACCGCCUCAAGUAGAAGCAUAUGCUCCAGAGCCGAUUUUAGAAACCUCAUCACCUACACCAUCACCAUCACCUAAAGACAUAGGUCCCAAGGUUCCAAUUUUCCUUCCACCAAUUGUUGACGCUCCUCUACCAGAACCCUUUGGGCAAAGAUCUGUCGUUCCAAUCCGCCCUCACCCACCAUCAGUUCACUCCCAUCCACCAGCUGUAGUAGUGCAACCACCACCAAUCCACUUGCAACCACCUCCGGUUCACUCUCCUCCACCACCAGUCCAAUCACCCCCACCACCAAUCCAUUCUCAUCCACCACCAGUGUACUCACCCCCACCACCUGUCCAUUCUCCUCCACCCCCAGUGCACUCACCCCCACCACCCGUCCAUUCACUUGCACCACCAGUAACACUCACCCCCACCACCUGUCCAUUCUCCUCCACCUUCAGAGUACUCACCCCCACCACCUGUCCAUUCUCCUCCACCCCCAGUGCACUCACCCCCACCACCCGUCCAUUCACCUGCACCACCAGUACACUCACCCCCAGCACCUGUCUACUUUCCUCCACCACCAGUCCACUCUCCUCCUCCACCGGUACACUCACCCCCACCACCAGUCCAUUCGCCUCCACCACCAGUGCACUCACCCCCACCACCUGUCCACUCUCCUCCACCACCCGUUCACUCUCCUCCACCACCAGUCCAUUCUCCUCCUCCACCUGUGCACUCACCCCCACCACCGGUCUACUCACCCCCACCACCUGUACACUCACCCCCACCACCAGUGCACUCGCCACCGCCACCAGCACCAGUCCACUCACCGCCACCUCCAAUCCAAUCAUCACCACCACCGGUACCGAUCCACUCAUCGCCACCUCCAGUCCAAUCACCUCCAAUCCAAUCACCACCACCACCUUCUCCAUCUCUAUCACCUCCUUCUCCCGUUUCCUCACCACCCUCUCCGGUAUAUGACUUCGCAUUGCCACCUACCAUCGGGUUCCAAUACUCAUCUCCACCUCCACCAAUGUUCCCAGGCUACUAAGCGCACUGCGAUAUCAAGCUCCCACCCGGCCCUGCAUGAAAAUUUGUUUAUAAAUAUUUACAAUCUCACAGAAA
rnacentral:lncRNA from 1 species